GCGCGGGUGCUGUAAUUGGUAGCCAGGCAUCCUUGAGGUGGAUGUGCCGAAAGGCGUGGAGGUUCGAGUCCUCUCCCGCGCA
rnacentral:tRNA from 1 species